rnacentral:lncRNA from 1 species
CAAAAUGCCAGUAAGGGGCAUAUUAAAAGCCUUUAAAAUUCUGAGAUUUUCACUUUUUCUUUAUCUGUAGGUUCCUUAUCCUAGACACAACAAUUUUCUUGUGGUAUUUAUGUUGUCGUCAUCUUGAAUGGAAAACGGAAUCCAUAGCUCAGGAUUUAGUAGAUCCUUCACUGUUUUCUCAGGUGAUCCUGCUUCUUUUAUGUAACUGCAGUCCUUGGUCUUGACAUGUGGAUCUAUCUCCUCUCUACUUAACUCCAUGGACCAGAAUGGAAAAAAUUUCUUCACUUCAUGUUCCACUUCUCAAAUACAGCACAUUUAGCUUGUUAGGUGGCUUCUUCCUU